rnacentral:rRNA from 1 species
ACCCGCUGAACUUAAGCAUAUCAAUAAGCGGAGGAAAAGAAACCAACAGGGAUUGCCUCAGUAACGGCGAGUGAAGCGGCAAGAGCUCAAAUUUAAAAGCCGACGUAGCUUUAAGAGACGUCCGCAUUGUAAUUUGAAGAGGCAUUCUCGGGUCGGGGCUCAGGCCUAAGUUCCUUGGAAGAGGGCGUCGUGGAGGGUGAGAACCCCGUUCGCGGCCUGCUGUCGACCUUUCCCCGAUCCACACGAGGUGCCAUCGAAGAGUCGAGUUGUUUGGGAAUGCAGCUCAAAGCGGGUGGUAAAUUCCAUCUAAAGCUAAAUAUUGACGGGAGACCGAUAGCGAACAAGUAGAGUGAUCGAAAGAUGAAAAGCACUUUGGAGAGAGAGUUAAACAGCACGUGAAAUUGUUGAAAGGGAAGCGCUUGAGACCAGUCACGGACCGAGGCGAUCAGUGGGACGUCCCUCUCGGGGGAGGAACCGCGCACUCGCUUUUCGGGUUUUCCGGGUCAACAUCGGUUGGGACGGUGUCAGAAAGGUCGCGGGAACGUGGCUCCCUUCACGGGGAGUGUUAUAGCCCGUGGCGUCAAAGUCGCCAGUUUCGACCGAGGACCGCGCUCGUCUUUUUCGAGCAAGGAUGUUGACGUAAUGGUCCC